UUGGGUUAGAUCUGCUCUCUUCGCAAGAAGAGGGUUUCCAUACACACCGUGAACUGUGGCUUCGGCCAUCACAAACUGUUAGUAAUGAAUGUAAUAUCAUAACAAAAACAAAACUUUUAACAACGGAUCUCUUGGCUCUCGCAUCGAUGAAGAACGCAGCGAAAUGCGAUAAGUAAUGUGAAUUGCAGAAUUCAGUGAAUCAUCGAAUCUUUGAACGCACCUUGCGCCCUUUGGUAUUCCGAAGGGCAUGCCUGUUUGAGUGUCAUGAAACCUCACCCCACUUGGGUUUUUGCCUGAGCGGUGGUGUAUUGGGUGUUGCCUUGCUAAAGGCUCGCCUUAAAGACAUAAGCACCUUGGAUGUAAUACGUUUCAUCCUUCUGGGUGGCUGAUAACCCCACAUAUUCAUGAUCUGGCCUCAAAUCAGGUAGGGCUACCCGCUGAACUUAAGCAUAUCAAUAAGCGGAGGAAAAGAAACUAACUAGGAUUCCCUUAGUAACGGCGAGUGAACCGGGAUGAGCUCAAAUUUAAAAUCUGGCGUCUUUCAGGCGUCCGAGUUGUAAUCUAUAGAGGCGUUUUCCGCGCCGGACCGCGUCCAAGUCUCUUGGAAUAGAGUAUCAAAGAGGGUGACAAUCCCGUACUUGACGCGACAACCGGUGCUCUGUGAUACGUUUCUCAAUGAGUCGA
rnacentral:rRNA from 1 species